UAGCAGUGUAAAGGAGUCUGUGCUGAAGUUAAUCGUGUGGCACAUGUUACUGCAGGAAGCACAUUGAUGUAUCGUGCGGUGGAUCAUGACUUCCAUUUACAAUUAAAGGAUAUUAUAGUAAAUAGAUCUUAACUAGUUUUCAUUGGGCUGGGAUUUUCCUUAGUUUUCUUUCUUUUUCUUUUUGGUAAGAACUUAUGUUUGAAUAUUACUAAUUGGCUCUUAAUCAGAU